rnacentral:tRNA from 2 species
GGCCUGAUAUCUCAGUUGCUUAGAGCAUUGUCCUGAUAUGCCAAAGUUGUGGGUUCAAUCCCCAGUCAGGGCA